GGUUUUAUAGUGUAGUGGUUAUCACUCCGGAUUUUGAUCACAAAAUCACAAGGUUGAAACCUUCCGGCGACCCCGGUUCGAACCCGGGUAAGACCG